rnacentral:rRNA from 1 species
UACCAGCUCUCCGAGUGGUGGGGAUGCUUAUUGGGCCUAAAGCAUUCGUAGCCUGCUUGACAAGUCCUCCGUUAAAUCCAACGAUUCAAUCGUUGGGCUGCGGGGAAUACUGUCCGGCUAGGGGGCGGGAGAGGCCGACGGUAUCCUCGGGGUAGGGGUGAAAUCCUAUAAUCCCGGGAGGACCACCAGUGGCGAAGGCUGUCGGCUAGAACGCGCUCGACGGUGAGGGAUGAAAGCUGGGGGAGCGAACCGGAUUAGAUACCCGGGUAGUCCCAGCUGUAAACGAUGCAGGCUAGGUGUUGGCGCGGCUACGUGCCGCUCCAGUGCCGCAGGGAAGCCGUUAAGCCUGCCGCCUGGGAAGUACGGCCGCAAGGCUUAAACUUAAAGGAUCGGCGGGGGAGCACCACAAGGUGUGAAGCUUGCGGUUU